CGUGCUCAAAGUAUAAAAGAACAAACUAAUUAAAAGAGAAACUCAAAAAUAAAAGCUAUAAAUAUAACUACGGAGUCUUCAGGCGUCCCCUUCGCCGUCUUCCUGCGGAACGGGCUCGGGAACAAUGUCUUCCUAAUCUGAAAUGAUUAAAUAAGGAAUGAGCUACACCAGCCCAGUAAAGACAUCACACUAUCUCACCGUCACGGAGGUAAAGGUAGGUAGAAAACACAAAAAGACCAAUGGAGCAUAAUUUACAACAAAUUCUUUUAUCAAUAAUAAAAUCCUUUACUAUCCACUUUAUCUCGGUGA
rnacentral:lncRNA from 1 species